GAUGAACGCUGGCGGCGUGCCUAAUACAUGCAAGUCGAGCGAACGGACGAGAAGCUUGCUUCUCUGAUGUUAGCGGCGGACGGGUGAGUAACACGUGGAUAACCUACCUAUAAGACUGGGAUAACUUCGGGAAACCGGAGCUAAUACCGGAUAAUAUUUUGAACCGCAUGGUUCAAAAGUGAAAGACGGUCUUGCUGUCACUUAUAGAUGGAUCCGCGCUGCAUUAGCUAGUUGGUAAGGUAACGGCUUACCAAGGCAACGAUGCAUAGCCGACCUGAGAGGGGGAUCGGCCAAACUGGAACUGAGACACGGUCCAGACUCCUACGGGAGGCAGCAGUAGGGAAUCUUCCGCAAUGGGCGAAAGCCUGACGGAGCAACGCCGCGUGAGUGAUGAAGGUCUUCGGAUCGUAAAACUCUGUUAUUAGGGAAGAACAUAUGUGUAAGUAACUGUGCACAUCUUGACGGUACCUAAGCAGAAAACAACGGCUAACUACGU
rnacentral:rRNA from 1 species